rnacentral:rRNA from 1 species
UACGUAGGGGGCUAGCGUUGUCCGGAAUCAUUGGGCGUAAAGAGCGCGUAGGCGGCUGGAAUAGUCCGGUGUGAAAUCCACAGGCUUAACCUGUGAAUGCCGCUGGAAACUGUCUGGCUAGAGUCCGGAAGGGGCGAGUGGAAUUCCUGGUGUAGCGGUGAAAUGCGCAGAUAUCGGGAGGAACACCAAUGGCGAAGGCAGCUCGCUGGGACGGUACUGACGCUGAGGCGCGAAAGCGUGGGGAGCGAACAGG